UGGGGAAUAUUGCACAAUGGGCGCAAGCCUGAUGCAGCCAUGCCGCGUGUGUGAAGAAGGCCUUCGGGUUGUAAAGCACUUUCAGCGAGGAGGAAGGUGGUGAGCUUAAUACGCUCAUCAAUUGACGUUACUCGCAGAAGAAGCACCGGCUAACUCCGUGCCAGCAGCCGCGGUAAUACGGAGGGUGCAAGCGUUAAUCGGAAUUACUGGGCGUAAAGCGCACGCAGGCGGUUUGUUAAGUCAGAUGUGAAAAUCCCCGGGCUCAACCUGGGAACUGCAUUUGAAACUGGCAAGCUAGAGUCUCGUAGAGGGGGGUAGAAUUUCCAGGUGUAGCGGUGAAAUGCGUAGAGAUCUGGAGGAAUACCGGUGGCGAAGGCGGCCCCCCUGGACGAAGACUGACGCUCAGGUGCGAAAGCGUGGGGCAGCAAACAGGAUUAGAUACCCUGGUAGUCCACGCUGUAAACGAUGUCGAUUUGGAGGUUGUG
rnacentral:rRNA from 1 species